rnacentral:rRNA from 2 species
UGGGGAAUAUUGCACAAUGGGCGAAAGCCUGAUGCAGCAACGCCGCGUGAGGGAAGACGGUUUUCGGAUUGUAAACCUCUGUCCUUGGUGAAGAAAGAAAUGACGGUAGCCGAGGAGGAAGCCACGGCUAACUACGUGCCAGCAGCCGCGGGAAUACGUAUGUGGCGAGCGUUGUCCGGAAUUACUGGGUGUAAAGGGAGCGUAGGCGGGUCGGCAAGUCAGUGGUGAAAUACAUGGGCUUAACCCAUGAAUUGCCAUUGAAACUGCCGGUCUUGAGUGGAUCAGAGGCAAGCGGAAUUCCGAGUGUAGCGGUGAAAUGCGUAGAUAUUCGGAGGAACACCAGUGGCGAAGGCGGCUUGCUGGGGUCUAACUGACGCUGAGGCUCGAAAGUGUGGGGAGCAAACAGG